UGGGGAAUUUUGGACAAUGGGCGCAAGCCUGAUCCAGCCAUGCCGCGUGCAGGAUGAAGGCCUUCGGGUUGUAAACUGCUUUUGUACGGAACGAAAAGGUGCCUUCUAAUAAAGGGCGCUCAUGACGGUACCGUAAGAAUAAGCACCGGCUAACUACGUGCCAGCAGCCGCGGUAAUACGUAGGGUGCGAGCGUUAAUCGGAAUUACUGGGCGUAAAGCGUGCGCAGGCGGUUUUGUAAGACAGAUGUGAAAUCCCCGGGCUUAACCUGGGAACUGCGUUUGUGACUGCAAGGCUGGACUACGGCAGAGGGGGGUGGAAUUCCACGUGUAGCAGUGAAAUGCGUAGAGAUGUGGAGGAACACCGAUGGCGAAGGCAGCCCCCUGGGCCUGUACUGACGCUCAUGCACGAAAGCGUGGGGAGCAAACA
rnacentral:rRNA from 1 species